CUGAAGAAUCUGCUCUGGGAAGGGGCUGCUGCACCUGGUUAGUGGCCAUCUUUAAUUCUGGCUCUGGUGAUCCCUGCUUGUCCUUUGUGCUUUCUGAUCAUAAAAAGCUCCAUUGCCUGGAAGGAAGCCAUUGACGCGACAAGCAGGCUCUUAUCCAGGGCUUCUUAUCAUCAGCCAGAGGAGCCUGCGCUGGAAAUGAAAUUCUGAGCCACAACAAGGAAAGGCUGCUUCCUUAAUUGAGCCUCUCCCUUUUGAAGUCGGCUCCCCACAGAGCCCGGAGCUGGCAGGUCCUGUGGCCAGCAUAACCCCUGUGUAAUCUCUUGCUCACCAGAAGCAGAUGCUGCACGGAGAAGGAGGCCUUUAUGAAAGGCGUUUAAUAAGGUUUCUCAACCUUGCAUAUGCCGGCCAGGUAGAGGGAGGGCCGGUUUUUCAGAGAAGCGACUGAUCAAAGACAUCAAGAUUCUGGUACUUAGGGCUUCCUUGCCAAUACACCUCAGUCAGGAUUCUGAAGUGGGGGGUCCUAGCACCCUGAACGACUUCCCAUCCAGUCUUGCU
rnacentral:lncRNA from 1 species